AUGGUUCAUUGUGAUGUUCCAGUUGAUAACAGAAAAUUGUGGAAGCUCAAAAUUCCUCUAAGAGUGAAGAUUUUCCUCUGGUUUCUACAUAGAGGAGUCAUCCUAACUAGAGAUAAUCUGGCACGACGAAACUGGCAUGGUUCUAAGACAUGUGUCUUUUGCCAACAUGACGAGACUAUUAGAGACUUAUUCUUUGAGUGCAAAUUCGCUCGGGCAGUUUGGGCCAUAGUUCAAGUAGCUUCUAAUUUAUACCCACCACGUAGUGCACGGAAUAUGUUCGGCAACUGGUUGCGGGGUAUUGAUAAACAAUUUUCUGCACACAUUCUCGUGGGAGCGGCGGCCUUAUGCUGGGCAUUGUGGCUUACCAGGAAUGAUGUGAUCUUUAAUAACAAAUGUGUCUCAUCUCCUAUGCAGGUUAUUCAUGUUUGUACACGAUGGCUCCGUACUUGGUCUAUCCUGCAGAGGCCGGAGGAUAGGGACCUUUUUAUGAUGGCGUCUACACGGCUGGAGCGUCCGGCCAGGGAGGUUUUCUACCCCCAUGGAUGGCGGUGUGAUCUACGGAUAGGAUCUACCGCACCUUAG
rnacentral:rRNA from 1 species